GACGUAGGGCGCGAGCGUUGUCCGGAUUUAUUGGGCGUAAAGAGCUCGUAGGCGGCUUGUCGCGUCGUCCGUGAAAACCUGCAAGCUCAACUGCAGGCUUGCGGUCGAUACGGGCAGGCUGGAGUUCGGUAGGGGAGACUGGAAUUCCUGGUGUAGCGGUGAAAUGCGCAGAUAUCAGGAGGAACACCCGUGGCGAAAGG
rnacentral:rRNA from 1 species